rnacentral:rRNA from 1 species
AGAGUUUGAUCCUGGCUCAGAUUGAACGCUGGCGGCAUGCCUUACACAUGCAAGUCGAACGGCAGCACGGGGGCAACCCUGGUGGCGAGUGGCGAACGGGUGAGUAAUACAUCGGAACGUGUCCUGUAGUGGGGGAUAGCCCGGCGAAAGCCGGAUUAAUACCGCAUACGCUCUACGGAGGAAAGGGGGGGAUCUUAGGACCUCCCGCUACAGGGGCGGCCGAUGGCAGAUUAGCUAGUUGGUGGGGUAAAGGCCUACCAAGGCGACGAUCUGUAGCUGGUCUGAGAGGACGACCAGCCACACGGGACUGAGACACGGCCCAGACUCCUACGGGAGGCAGCAGUGGGGAAUUUUGGACAAUGGGCGAAAGCCUGAUCCAGCAAUGCCGCGUGUGUGAAGAAGGCCUUCGGGUUGUAAAGCACUUUUGUCCGGAAAGAAAACCUCCGCCCUAAUAUGGUGGGGGGAUGACGGUACCGGAAGAAUAAGCACCGGCUAACUACGUGCCAGCAGCCGCGGUAAUACGUAGGGUGCAAGCGUUAAUCGGAAUUACUGGGCGUAAAGCGUGCGCAGGCGGUCCGCUAAGACAGAUGUGAAAUCCCCGGGCUUAACCUGGGAACUGCAUUUGUGACUGGCGGGCUAGAGUAUGGCAGAGGGGGGUAGAAUUCCACGUGUAGCAGUGAAAUGCGUAGAGAUGUGGAGGAAUACCGAUGGCGAAGGCAGCCCCCUGGGCCAAUACUGACGCUCAUGCACGAAAGCGUGGGGAGCAAACAGGAUUAGAUACCCUGGUAGUCCACGCCCUAAACGAUGUCAACUAGUUGUUGGGGAUUCAUUUCCUUAGUAACGUAGCUAACGCGUGAAGUUGACCGCCUGGGGAGUACGGUCGCAAGAUUAAAACUCAAAGGAAUUGACGG